UAAAAACCCCGACUUCGGAAGGGGUGUAUUUAUUAGAUACAAAACCAAUGCCCUUCGGGGCUCUUUGGUGAUUCAUGAUAACUAUACGAAUCGCACGGCCUUGCGCCGGCGAUGGUUCAUUCAAAUUUCUUCCCUAUCAACUUUCGAUGUUUGGGUAUUGGCCAAACAUGGUUGCAACGGGUAACGGAGGGUUAGGGCUCGACCCCGGGGAAGGAGCCUGAGAAACGGCUACUACAUCCAAGGAAGGCAGCAGGCGCGCAAAUUACCCAAUCCCGACUCGGGGAGGUAGUGACAAUAAAUACUGAUACAGGGCCCUUUCGGGCCUUGUAAUUGGAAUGAGUACAAUUUAAAUCCCUUAACGAGGAACAAUUGGAGGGCAAGUCUGGUGCCAGCAGCCGCGGUAAUUCCAGCUCCAAUAGCGUAUAUUAAAGUUGUUGUGGCUAAAAAGCUCGUAGUUGAACCUUGGGCCUGGCUGGCCGGUCCGCCUCACCGCGUGCACUGGUCCGGCCGGGCCUUUCCCUCUGUGGAACCCCAUACCCUCCACUGGGGCGUGGCGGGGAAACAGGACAUUUACUU
rnacentral:rRNA from 1 species